rnacentral:tRNA from 1 species
UAAUACAUGGCUCAAUGGUUGAGUGGUUGUUUCAAAAUCAAAGGUCUUGGGUUCGAAUCCUGUGAA